rnacentral:rRNA from 1 species
GUGGGGAAUUGUUCGCAAUGGGCGCAAGCCUGACGACGCAACGCCGCGUGGAGGAUGAAGGUCUUCGGAUUGUAAACUCCUGUUGCUCGGGACGAAAAGCUUCGACCUAACACGUCGAAGUCUGACGGUACCGAGUGAGGAAGCCCCGGCUAACUCUGUGCCAGCAGCCGCGGUAAUACAGAGGGGGCAAGCGUUGUUCGGAAUUACUGGGCGUAAAGGGCGCGUAGGCGGCCUGCUAAGUCGAACGUGAAAUCCCUGGGCUCAACCCAGGAACUGCGUCCGAUACUGGUUGGCUUGAAUCCGGGAGAGGGAUGUGGAAUUCCAGGUGUAGCGGUGAAAUGCGUAGAUAUCUGGAGGAACACCGGUGGCGAAGGCGACAUCCCGGACCGGCAUUGACGCUGAGGCGCGAAAGCCAGGGGAGCAAA